CCUACGGGAGGCAGCAGUGGGGAAUAUUGGACAAUGGGCGGAAGCCUGAUCCAGCCAUGCCGCGUGUGUGAAGAAGGCCUUCGGGUUGUAAAGCACUUUCAGUGGGGAAGAAAGCCUUGGGGCUAAUACCCUCGAGGAAGGACAUCACCCACAGAAGAAGCACCGGCUAACUCCGUGCCAGCAGCCGCGGUAAUACGGAGGGUGCGAGCGUUAAUCGGAAUUACUGGGCGUAAAGCGCGCGUAGGCGGUCUGAUAAGCCGGUUGUGAAAGCCCCGGGCUCAACCUGGGAACGGCAUCCGGAACUGUCAGGCUAGAGUGCAGGAGAGGAAGGUAGAAUUCCCGGUGUAGCGGUGAAAUGCGUAGAGAUCGGGAGGAAUACCAGUGGCGAAGGCGGCCUUCUGGACUGACACUGACGCUGAGGUGCGAAAGCGUGGGUAGCAAACAGGAUUAGAUACCCUGGUAGUC
rnacentral:rRNA from 1 species